UUCUUUCUUGUGAGGGCAUGCAAGUUGAAAUAUUAAUGAUUUUUAAAAUUCUUAAUUGAGUCAAGUGAGCUAAUGAGUUGAGUCAUUUCUUGAGUUUGAGUUGUUGUCACUUAAAUGAUUCUUGAUUUUUUAUAAUGUUUCAUGUGAAUGAGAGGAUUUCUUUUGUGGAAAGUUUUCAUGUGGACUAUUUGUUGUUACCAACCGACGCCAUUACCUUUGUGCUUAAUUGAGAAAUGGAAAUUGAUUUGUGGUGUAUCUUGAAAUAGGAAUCUCUUAUGUUUUUUGACUUUCUUGACUUGAUGAAAAACAAACUUUCUAAGUUGGGGUGUUGAUUUGUGGUAGAUUUCUACUCAUUUGAGUCUUUUUUUCGUAGUUAUUUUGGCUUUUAGUUUAUAAUUGUUGCUUUUUGAUGUGAUUUUGCACGAAAAUGAAAUGGAGAGUUCGUACAAAAUGUUGAACAUGCAAGGUUAGCACCAUUUGAUUGUUGGCUUUGUUUUAGAGGAACCAAAACAAUGGAAGAAAAUGCUUCUACCGUCUUCAAUUUUUCACGUGUCGGAGUUUGUGGAUGCUAUUUGGGUUGCUCUGUGUAUCCAAUGUUGGCUGUUCGGGAGAAGGUUGUUUAGACAUUGCGUGCCUGCCUUCUUGUUAUUGAAAAGCGUGAGGCACGACGGCGUGUUCAGUGGUAUUAUCGAAUGUUUGAGGCUACCCAAGAUGGAUCGCGGAGAAUCGCUCCUGUUAAUAGUAUAAUUGGAUCUCUUCUCGCAGUCGGGGAGCCGCUAAGGAAGUAAAAAGGAGAUUGAAAUAGAAAGAACACAGAAUGCUGCACUUUACUUUAGGGCACAUUUAUUUUUAUUUGGAUUUGUGUGGAAGAAGAUCAGCAGAUAUACUCCUAAGUCUUUUUUCUGUUUCAGCCUUAGAAGGAUGGGUCUGCAUUGGCUUUGAGGCAUCUUGUAGAGGUAGAAGCUCGGGAUCUUAGUGGAGAAGGAACACAGGGGAGUUCAUGAUGUCAAUAUACAGGGAGGUUGCUGAAAUUGUUCUAAGAUACCUGGAGCACCAAGUACUUGAAAUCGAGCUUCAUGUUGCAUCACGGGAUAAACAACUACUUCAAUCACAAACAGCUAGCUAAAAAAGUUAUACAUAGAGGUGUUGACUCUUGCAACAUUCAAAAAAUACAUUGUCUUUGUCUGAAGUUGAGAGUCACGACAAAAACGAAAGUGUGCUUCCAAGUUCUGAUCCUUUGUUAGCUAAAUGAAAAUCAUAAGAAGUCAAAUUUUCACUACAUGCUUCCGCGGCUACAAAAACAACUACUUACACCUCUUAUCUUUGAAUUAGGUGAGUCGGCAGAAUUGAAAAUUUCUUUUAAUCUAAUAAGUUUUAUGUCUAAA